UACGUAGGCAGCGAGCGUUGUUCGGAAUUACUGGGCGUAAAGGGUGUGUAGGCGGUGCUGCGAGUCUGUUGUGAAAUCUCCCGGCUUAACUGGGAGGGUGCAGCGGAAACUAGAGUGCUAGAGGGUGGGAGAGGUAAGCGGAAUUCCUGGUGUAGCGGUGAAAUGCGUAGAUAUCAGGAGGAACACCUGUGGUGUAGACAGCGUACUGGACCAUUUCUGACGCUGAGACACGAAAGCGGGGGUAGCAAACAGG
rnacentral:rRNA from 1 species